UUAAAACAGAUUCUGCCCAAGAUACACCCGCAUCUUCCACAUUCUGCCACGGCGCCACCUCUAGCUAUUAGCCUUGCCACUUCCUCCUUUUAGGCUUGCCACCUGCCCCAUAUUCCAUUAUCUGUGUUUCCCUCUUUUGCUUUCCCAAUACGCCACCACCGUUACCAUCUCUCCCUAUCAUUCUUUCUCUUUGGAAAAAUGUUUAGGAGCACAAAGCUAUUGAAGAGUGAAGACGACGAGCAUCGGUAGUGGUGGUGUAAUCAACCGCUCUGAUUAAUUUAUAGUUGUCUUUAUUCAUAGUAUUGGGAUAAUCGAUUAAAUGGUCUACAUCGAAGUUCCAACCCAAAGAAAGCAUAGCUCACCACAGAUGCUUAAGCCCUCCAGUGUUGCUAUCAAUCGACCAGCCAAGAAGCCAAAAACUUAAACACGCUUAUCUUGGGAAUGGAAGCUCAAAGGGGGAGGGAGAAGAAAGCUACUAAAUUGUUGAAAGUUGAAACUAAUCGAUGGUGCUUGUAGAUCAGAUGAAUUUCAAAAUAUGUAACCUGGCACUCUAUUAUCCACUCCUAUUGAAUCAUAAUUCUUGAGUUUUAAGCAAUUGAAAACGAAAUUGAGAAGACGUUCAAUCGCCACUCCUUUCAUUUGGCCUCAUCAUUUUCUCCUGCUCAUUGUCGCUUGCAUAUGUGAUGAAGCUCUUGGAGUCUACCAAUCCAAAUCCACACCCAACUCUUGAACUUGAGAAUGCCAGGUUCUACGUUUCUUAUGGAUAGUCUACUAAAACAAGCAUUGAUGCAAACUUUCCAUUUGUUCAAAGAUUAAAUAGCAAUCAAUGCCCCUUCUUCGAUUAACGUGAGGCUGAUAUUGGUCUCACUAUGGGCAUCCAAGGAACAAAAGUACAAAAGAAAGAAAGAAACAAUAUAAAGUAUCUUUGUGUGCUAGAUAAGGUAUUUUCAAGUUUUGUAUGUCCAAUUGUAUGACUGUCAGUUUGAAUUUUUCUUGACAGCAUCUUAGACGGGUAUUCCAGGCUGAAGAUUAAUGUAGGUGUGUAUGGCUGUCUGGAAUGAUGCAAACCUAGCCAAAUCAGACAUUGACGUGUUCAUAGGGUUGGUUCAUGUAGCUUGCUUUUGUUAUGUUACCUCCCCCCCUUACAAGUGACAGUUGACAUCUCAUGUUAAUGCACACAUCUCUCCAUUGAUAAAACAAAUAUGGGUUACUAGGUGGUUGAAUUUAGUUGAGGCCAUAUAUAAUUAUAAUUUGUAGGAAGAUGGUGUCAUUGUAUUUUGUUUAUUAAGUCCGUGUUUCUUAUGAAAGUUAGGACAUAAUAGACGGACUUGUACUGCCUUCGGCAUGGACUUGGACAACAAUUGUAAAUUUUUAUCCUACCCACAUGGUGGAACAAGGCCAGACAUUAAUUUACCCUCUAUACAAAAAGAGGUGGAUGCACUACUUGACCUAACUUGUUGUAGCUAAGGCCAGAGAGUUGUUAACACACUGAGGGAUUAUAGAGAAUGUAUAAAGCAAAUCAGUGAACCAACUAUGUGAAUGAAGGAAGAGUGUAAAACAAAGAACUUGAUGAUAUUAGUUUACAAUAGAUGCAUGUAUACCUUUUUACCUCCUCCCUUUAACAACCCAAAAAGAUUAACCACCAUGAUAAUAACAAGAAGUGAUUUUUUUUGCAUCAUGAAAAUUACAAAACUUGUUUUUUGCAUCUUGAAGGCUUUAGUGAUGAUUGAUGAUAAAUUAGAAGAGAUUGUUGCACCUGUAACAUUGCUUACAUUAUGCUGGUACUUGGCUUUAGAUGGUGUAGUGGUGUAAUUCUUACUUAAACAUGGAUAAAUUAGGUUUUAACUCCUCAACAUUAUGCUUAUUUUCAUUUGUUCUUUUUAAAUCAUUGUGUAUUUUUUUCAACAGGAUACAGUGGUACUACCCUAUACAAAUAGUAUGUUGUUAUUUAGCAUAUAUUUGCAAGAAUUGGUCAUGGAAUCCUUAAGAAAGGAGUUUAACCUUGAUGGGAACAUGAUUGUGCCGGUGUCUGGUAUUCAUGAGGGCUGAAUGGGAUACUUUGCAAUUUGGUGUUUAUGCUUAUGCCCAUGUCUCUUUGGAAUAUAUUUUUAUAUUUUUUGGAAGCUUUUUACAAUAUGGAAACACUUUUCUGUUGUGUUUGACACUUCAUAUGCAGAAGUUCUUAAUGAAUUAUUGGGACCUUUUUGGAAACCAAUAUAGCCAAUGUACUUUA